rnacentral:rRNA from 1 species
CCUACGGGUGGCAGCAGUGAGGAAUAUUGGUCAAUGGACGCAAGUCUGAACCAGCCAUGCCGCGUGCAGGAAGACGGCUCUAUGAGUUGUAAACUGCGUUUGUACGAGGGUAAACGCAGAUACGCGUAUCUGUCUGAAAGUAGCGUACGAAUAAGGAUAGGCUAACGCCGUGCCAGCAGCAGCGGUAAUACGGAGGAUUCAAGCGUUAUCCGGAUUUAUUGGGUUUAAAGGGUGCGUAGGCGGUCGGAUAAGUUAGAGGUGAAAUCCCGAGGCUCAACUUCGGAAUUGCCUCUGAUACUGUUCGGCUAGAGCGUAGUUGCGGUAGGCUGAAUGUAUGGUGUAGCGG